AACUCCUACGGGAGGCAGCAGUGGGGAAUCUUGCACAAUGGAGGAAACUCUGAUGCAGCGAUGCCGCGUGAGUGAAGAAGGCCCUUGGGUUGUAAAGCUCUUUCGUCGGGGAAGAAAAUGACUGUACCCGAAUAAGAAGGUCCGGCUAACUUCGUGCCAGCAGCCGCGGUAAUACGAAGGGACCUAGCGUAGUUCGGAAUUACUGGGCUUAAAGAGUUCGUAGGUGGUUGAAAAAGUUAGUGGUGAAAUCCCAGAGCUUAACUCUGGAACUGCCAUUAAAACUUUUCAGCUAGAGUAUGAUAGAGGAAAGCAGAAUUUCUAGUGUAGAGGUGAAAUUCGUAGAUAUUAGAAAGAAUACCAAUUGCGAAGGCAGCUUUCUGGAUCAUUACUGACACUGAGGAACGAAAGCAUGGGUAGCGAAGAGGAUUAGAUACCCUCGUAGUCCAUGCCGUAAACGAUGUGUGUUAGACGUUGGAAAUUUAUUUUCAGUGUCGCAGGGAAACCGAUAAACACACCGCCUGGGGAGUACGACCGCAAGGUUAAAACUCAAAUGAAUUGACGGGGACCCGCACAAGUAGUGGAGCAUGUGGUUUAAUUCGAAGAUACGCGCAGAACCUUACCAACACUUGACAUGUUCGUCGCGACUCUAAGAGAUUAGAGUUUUCGGUUCGGCCGGACGAAACACAGGUGCUGCAUGGCUGUCGUCAGCUCGUGUCGUGAGAUGUUGGGUUAAGUCCCGCAACGAGCGCAACCCUCACUUUUAGUUGCCAUCAUUAAGUUGGGCACUCUGAAAGAACUGCCAGUGAUAAGCUGGAGGAAGGUGGGGAUGACGUCAAGUCCUCAUGGCCCUUACGUGUUGGGCUACACACGUGCUACAAUGGUAUCUACAACAGGAAGCAAGACUGCGAAGUUAAGCAAAUCCCUAAAAGAUACCUCAGUUCGGAUUGCACUCUGCAACUCGAGUGCAUGAAGCUGGAAUUACUAGUAAUCGUGGAUCAGCGUGCCACGGUGAAUGCGUUCCCGGGUCUUGUACACACCGCCCGUCACACCAUGGGAGUUGGUUCUACCUUAAGGCAAGGUUUCAAACCCUUGACCACGGUAUAGUCAGCGACUGGGGUGAAGUCGUAACAAGGUAGCCGUAGGGGAACCUGCGGCUGGAUUACCUCCUUU
rnacentral:rRNA from 1 species